rnacentral:rRNA from 1 species
UACGUAGGGGGCAAGCGUUGUCCGGAUUUAUUGGGCGUAAAGAGCGUGUAGGCGGCCACACAGGUCUGCUGUGAAAACUCGAGGCUCAACCUCGAGCUGUCGGUGGAAACCGUGUGGCUAGAGUCCGGAAGAGGAGAGUGGAAUUCCCGGUGUAGCGGUGAAAUGCGCAGAUAAUCGGGAAGAACACCCGUGGCGAAGGCGGCUACUCUCGGG